ensembl:snRNA Gm22828 predicted gene, 22828
AUGCUCGAUUCGGUAGCAUAUAUACUAAAAUUGGAACAAUAAGAGAAGAUUAGCAUGGCCCCUGCACAAGAAUGACACACAAAUUUAUAAAGCGUUGCAAACUUUU